AAACCAGAAAAAAAUAGAUAUAAAAAUAAAUGAAGUCAGUCUUCGAGUGUUCUUUCUCUUUUCGCUUCGUGCUUCUGUCCCCUUGCGUCUUUCUCUCUCCUCUUGGUGUACUUGUCUCUAUGCUCCGUUACUCCAU
rnacentral:ribozyme from 1 species